CGUGUAGGCGGCCAGAUAAGUUGGAUGUGAAAGGUUACGGCUCAACCGCAGAUUGUCAUUCAAAACUGUCUGGCUUGAGUUCAGUAGGGGGUGGUGGAAUUCCUGGUGUAGCGGUGAAAUGCGUAGAUAUCAGGAAGAACACCGGAGGCGAAGGCGGCCACCUGGGCUGACACUGACGCUGAGGCGCGAAAGCGUGGGGAGCAAACAGGAUUAGAUACCCUGGUAGUCC
rnacentral:rRNA from 1 species